rnacentral:misc_RNA from 1 species
GAAAAUGAUGUGGUAGAAUAUCAGGAUGUUCUUCGGCAUUAAGUACUCUCCUUUACAAUGAGAAAUGAUACAAAGAGCUCCGCUAGGAAUUAAUCACCGAAGUACACAAUGAUGUCAUAGAAAAUCAGUAAACAAGCGUCGGUUCGAAAUCCGCAAAAUCAACAGAUCCAGACUCAAUAGGGGGCAUGAGAUAUGCAGCCAAGAUCUCGUUUGCCAAAGCUGCAACCAAAGGAACCUUCUUCAAGUUCUUUACCAGGGAACUACCCUCUUCCUUCCCAAUGGCAAUCAGCUUCUUGUUUAUCUCCACCAUUCUGUCCAAUUUUCUCUUGAAC